GGAGAGGUCGCGUAGUGGCCGAGCGCGCGGGUCUGGAGUACCCGUAACCCGCAAGGGUUCGAGGGUUCGAAUCCCUCCCUCUCCGCCA
rnacentral:tRNA from 1 species